GACGAACGCUGGCGGCGUGCUUAACACAUGCAAGUCGAACGGAAAGGCCCUGCUUUUGUGGGGUGCUCGAGUGGCGAACGGGUGAGUAACACGUGAGUAACCUGCCCUUGACUUUGGGAUAACUUCAGGAAACUGGGGCUAAUACCGGAUAGGAGCUCCUGCUGCAUGGUGGGGGUUGGAAAGUUUCGGCGGUUGGGGAUGGACUCGCGGCUUAUCAGCUUGUUGGUGGGGUAGUGGCUUACCAAGGCUUUGACGGGUAGCCGGCCUGAGAGGGUGACCGGCCACAUUGGGACUGAGAUACGGCCCAGACGCCGACGGGAGUCAGCAGUGGGGAAUAGUGCACAAUGGGCGGAAGCCUGAUGCAGCAACGCCGCGUGCGGUAUGACGGCCUUCGGGUUGUAAACCGCUUUCGCCUGUGACGAAGCGUGAGUGACGGUAAUGGGUAAAGAAGCACCGGCUAACUACGUG
rnacentral:rRNA from 1 species